rnacentral:rRNA from 1 species
UACGUAGGGUGCUAGCGUUGUCCGGAAUCAUUGGGCGUAAAGGGCGCGUAGGUGGCCCGGUCAGUCUUUGGUGAAAGCCCCCGGCUCAACUGGGGAGGGUCACGCGAUACUGAUCGACUCGAAGGCAGGAGAGGGUAGUGGAAUUCCCGGUGUAGUGGUGAAAUGCGUAGAUAUCGGGAGGAACACCAGUGGCGAAGGCGACUACCUGGCCUGUUUCUUGACGCUGAGGCGCGAAAGCUAGGGGAGCAAACGGG